UACGGAGGAGGCAAGCGUUAUCCGGAAUUACUGGGCGUAAAGCGUCCGUAGGUGGUUGACAAAGUCUGCUGUCAAAGGGUGGGGCUUAACCUCAUAAAGGCAGUGGAAACUGGUGAGCUAGAGUGCGGUAGGGGUAAGGGGAAUUCCCAGUGUAGCGGUGAAAUGCGUAGAGAUUGGGAAGAACAUCGGUGGCGAAAGCGCCUUGCUGGGCCUGCAAUGACCCUGAGGGACGAAAGCUAGGGGAGCGAAAGGG
rnacentral:rRNA from 1 species